GAUGAACGCUAGCUACAGGCUUAACACAUGCAAGUCGAGGGGCAGCAUCGCGAUAGCUUGCUAUUGCGGAUGGCGACCGGCGCACGGGUGAGUAACGCGUAUCCAACCUUCCCGCAACUGGGGAAUAACCUUGCGAAAGUAAGACUAAUACCCCAUGGUCUCCACGGAUGGCAUCUGAAAUGGAGUAAAGGUUUCGGCCGGUUGCGGAUGGGGAUGCGUCUGAUUAGCUUGUUGGCGGGGUAACGGCCCACCAAGGCAACGAUCAGUAGGGGUUCUGAGAGGAAGGUCCCCCACAUUGGAACUGAGACACGGUCCAAACUCCUACGGGAGGCAGCAGUGAGGAAUAUUGGUCAAUGGGCGAGAGCCUGAACCAGCCAAGUAGCGUGCAGGACGACGGCCCUAUGGGUUGUAAACUGCUUUUAUAAGGGAAUAAAGUGAGUCUCGUGAGACUUUUUGCAUGUACCUUAUGAAUAAGGACCGGCUAAUUCCGUGCCAGCAGCCG
rnacentral:rRNA from 1 species